UGUAAUAUUGAAGUUACCAACAAGAAUUCCAAGUGAAAGCACCAGCUCUGUAGUGAUCCUAGGAGGGGAAGAGGGCCGGGACUGGAUAUCCCAUGCUGUUAUAUUGAAACUUCUAGACAGCAUUCUUGAAAAUUUCAAAGUCGAUUUUGGUCAAAAAACAGGAAAACUUCUCCUUCUAACCAAUCAUGUAUUGGUGUGAAUGUAGACAGAAACUGGCAUCUUGACUCUUCUAAAAGAUCUACAUUUAGAUGUGAAGGGAUCAAUAUAGGAGAAAGAUCCUUGUCAGAAAAAGAAACUAGCUCAUUAGCGGCAUAUCUGAAUACAAUAGCUCCUAACCUAAUGGCUUUUAUAAAUGUGCGAGGAUUUAGAAGCUUUAUCACAACUCCUGCUUAUAUAAAAGAACAUGAGAAUAAUUAUCCAUUAAUGAAUGAAAUUAUGAAAACCGCUUCACAAUCCUUUUACAAAAAGUUUAAGAAACCAUAUAAAUACUCUGCUUCAGUUAUGUAUAACUUUACUGGUAACUGUGCAGACUGGGUUAAAUCGCAACUGAACAUACCAAUUGUAUAUACAAUUUAUAUGACACAUGAGGAUGAGCUAAUACCACAGCCAGACCAUGUCUUCCCAUUAGCAGAACAAUUAUCAGUAUACUUAGAGGAAUCAC